rnacentral:rRNA from 1 species
GAGUUUGAUCUUGGCUCAGGAUGAACGCUGGCGGCGUGCUUAACACAUGCAAGUCGAACGAAGCGCCUUAUUUGAUUUUCUUCGGAACUGAAGAUUUGGUGACUGAGUGGCGGACGGGUGAGUAACGCGUGGGUAACCUGCCCUGUACAGGGGGAUAACAAUCAGAAAUGACUGCUAAUACCGCAUAAGACCACAGCACCGCAUGGUGCAGGGGUAAAAACUCCGGUGGUACAGGAUGGACCCGCGUCUGAUUAGCUGGUUGGUGAGGUAACGGCUCACCAAGGCGACGAUCAGUAGCCGGCUUGAGAGAGUGAACGGCCACAUUGGGACUGAGACACGGCCCAAACUCCUACGGGAGGCAGCAGUGGGGAAUAUUGCACAAUGGGGGAAACCCUGAUGCAGCAACGCCGCGUGAGUGAAGAAGUAUUUCGGUAUGUAAGGCUCUAUCAGCAGGGAAGAAAGUGACGGUACCUGACUAAGAAGCCCCGGCUAACUACGUGCCAGCCG